GACGAACGCUGGCGGCGCGCUUAACACAUGCAAGUCGAGCGAAGCGGCGGACGAGUAAGUAACACGUGAGUAACCUACCUUAGACAUUGGGAUAGCCUCAGGAAACCGGGAUUAUUACCAAAUGGUCUAGGAUGGACUCGCGUCCCAUUAGGUGGUUGGUGAGGUAACGGCCCACCACGGCGACGAUGAGUAGCCGGACUGAGAGGGUGAACGCCGACAUUGGAACUGAGAAGCGGUCCAAAAUCUACGGGAGGCAGCAGUGGGGAAUAGUGCAAAAUGGAGGGAACGCUGAUGCAUAGACGCCGUUUAAACGAAGAAGGCUUUCGAGUCGUAAAGUUCUUUUAUAUGGGAAGCGGUACCAUAAGAAAAAGCCCCGGCUAACUACGUGCCAGCAGCCGCGGUAAUUC
rnacentral:rRNA from 1 species